rnacentral:misc_RNA from 1 species
GGGAGACCCCCAAGAUUUGCUUGGGGACAUAGUACCUGUGUUGUAGGAGGCACAAGGGCUAUAGUCCUUGGCGGUCAAACUGGGGAGGAGUGGAUGCUAAGUGAGCUCCAUGAGCUGACAUUGGGUAGUUCCGUUAUCUGAUUGACAAACUAAAGAAAAAAAAAAAUGUAUUGGAAGCUGUGGCAAAGGAGUCAUCUGAAGCCUUCAACAUGAGGAUGUGAGAUAAUUUCUUGGAAACUCAGUUGAGACUGCUGUUCAGUCACUAAUAACUCUUGACAAAUGUUGCUUUGGUCAGGACUUUUGUAUUAGGUGGUUGUCCGUUGUUGCAUUUUCUUGUACAGGUUGUUCUGGCUCCGGAUGAACUUUCAUAAGGUGACUUAAACUCUUUUUUUGUGAGGUGUAUGAGACCUUCCUCUCCCCUCCCCUUCACCAUGCACAUUGGACCUUUCUUCCUUGUUAGGUAGUAGUAUUUUAUAGACAGGUAGGUAUUGAUAUAAUGUAGGUUUAGUUUCAUGCUACGUCCUUGCUAUGCUUUAAUUCUGUUCUGUAAUUUGAGCAAAAGAAUUGAAAAAAAAAAUAAAAAAGAAGUGCCUGUUUAUAAUAAGUACUGC